rnacentral:rRNA from 1 species
AGAGUGAACGCUGGCGGUAGGCCUAACACAUGCAAGUCGAACGGCAGCACAGUGGUAGCAAUACCAUGGGUGGCGAGUGGCGGACGGGUGAGGAAUACAUCGGAAUCUACCUUUUCGUGGGGGAUAACGUAGGGAAACUUACGCUAAUACCGCAUACGCCCUUUGGGGGAAAGCCGGGGAUCGCAAGACCUGGCGCGGAUAGAUGAGCCGAUGUCGGAUUAGCUAGUUGGUGAGGUAAUGGCUCACCAAGGCGACGAUCCGUAGCUGGUCUGAGAGGAUGAUCAGCCACACUGGAACUGGA